UUUUUGCCAAGCCAAAGCAUUAAUCUUAUUGGACAUGCAUGGAGGUUGUGGAAUGAGGGAAUCCCACUUGAAUUCUCCGAUAAACAUUUGGGGGAGUCUUGCAUUGAAUCAGAAGCAUUACGAUGCAUCCAUGUCGGUCUUCUUUGUGUGCAAUACCAUGCUAAUGAUAGGCCAAACAUGACAUCUGUUGUUAUAAUGUUGAGUAGUGAAGGUGUCUUACCUGAACCUAAAGAAGCUGGUUUACUUUUAGAAAAUAUCCCAAUUAAGAGAGAAUCUCCUAAUAGUCGUACAAAUCUUUCAAGUAAUAAAGUAUCUAUCACCUUGUUAGAAGCCAGGUAAGGUCAAUUUUACUUUGAUUUUGGACCGCUAAUGAGAGUACUCUUAAGGAAAAGACUGUAUUUGCAAUAGUGAAAGAUAUUGUUGAUUCUAAAUA